rnacentral:rRNA from 1 species
AGUGAACGCUGGCGGUAGGCCUAACACAUGCAAGUCGAACGGCAGCACAGUAAGAGCUUGCUCUUACGGGUGGCGAGUGGCGGACGGGUGAGGAAUACAUCGGAAUCUACUUUUUCGUGGGGGAUAACGUAGGGAAACUUACGCUAAUACCGCAUACGACCUACGGGUGAAAGCAGGGGAUCUUCGGACCUUGCGCGAUUGAAUGAGCCGAUGUCGGAUUAGCUAGUUGGCGGGGUAAAGGCCCACCAAGGCGACGAUCCGUAGCUGGUCUGAGAGGAUGAUCAGCCACACUGGAACUGAGACACGGUCCAGACUCCUACGGGAGGCGGCAGUGGGGAAUAUUGGACAAUGGGCGCAAGCCUGGUCCAGCCAUACCGCGUGGGUGAAGAAGGCCUUCGGGUUGUAAAGCCCUUUUGUUGGGAAAGAAAAGCAGCAGGUUAAUACCCCGCUGUUCUGACGGUACCCAAAGAAUAAGCACCGGCUAACUUCGUG